GCCGGUGUGGCGGAACUGGCAUACGCAGCGGACUUAAAAUCCGCUCCCCGUAAGGGGUUGAGGGUUCAAAUCCCUCCACCGGCACCA
rnacentral:tRNA from 1 species